UUGGUUUGGAUGGUAUGUAUGCAAUUGCAUGACUUAAGUUUUGGUACUCUGUGGGCUGCAUUGAGCUUUACAACAAUGCAAGGAGCUUUGCACCUACAUUGUGUUAUUUCAUGGAUUGUUGGAUCUCACCUACCUUGUUUGCAUUGUAUAUACAUCAUGUUUGUGCUUGUGUAUACACCAUGUCAUUAAACUGCUGCAUCUUGUGUGACAUGGUUUAUAUGGCCUUAUUUGGUCUUCAUUGAUCUUCAUUGCUUUCAAG
rnacentral:lncRNA from 1 species